rnacentral:rRNA from 1 species
ACAAGACGGUGGAGCAUGUGGUUUAAUUCGUAAGCAACGCGAAGAACCUUUACCAGGUCUUGACAUCCCGAUGCUAUUCUAGAGAUAGAAAGUUACUUCGGUACAUCGGUGACAGGUGGUGCAUGGUUGUCGUCAGCUCGUGUCGUGAGAUGUUGGGUUAAGUCCCGCAACGAGCGCAACCCUACGUUUAGUUGCUAACAGGUGAAGCUGAGCACUCUAGACGAACUGCCGUUGACAAAACGGAGGAAGGUGGGGAUGACGUCAAAUCAUCAUGCCCCUUAUGACCUGGGCUACACACGUGCUACAAUGGUUGGUACAACGAGUUGCGAGUCGGUGACGGCGAGCUAAUCUCUUAAAGCCAAUCUCAGUUCGGAUUGUAGGCUGCAACUCGCCUACAUGAAGUCGGAAUCGCUAGUAAUCGCGGAUCAGCACGCCGCGGUGAAUACGUUCCCGGGCCUU